rnacentral:rRNA from 1 species
UUUAGCCUACGGGACGCAGCAGUGAGGAAUAUUGGUCAAUGGACGAGAGUCUGAACCAGCCAAGUAGCGUGAAGGAUGACUGCCCUAUGGGUUGUAAACUUCUUUUAUAUGGGAAUAAAGUUUUCCACGUGUGGAAUUUUGUAUGUACCAUAUGAAUAAGGAUCGGCUAACUCCGUGCCAGCAGCCGCGGUAAUACGGAGGAUCCGAGCGUUAUCCGGAUUUAUUGGGUUUAAAGGGAGCGUAGGUGGAUUGUUAAGUCAGUUGUGAAAGUUUGCGGCUCAACCGUAAAAUUGCAGUUGAAACUG